rnacentral:ncRNA from 1 species
AACGAUUUUCCGAGCUUAAUCGUCUAAAGUGUUUACCAUGAAGGUUAAGUCAUUGGGUAGAAGGAGAAAUCCUUUUGCCUCCCGUGUUUGGAAAGGAAGAUAA